UGAAGGCUUUGCAAUGAUCUUAUGACAGACUUGCUUUCAUUUAAAGUGCUUAGUUUGAUAUAGGAAUCCAGCCUGCGAAUUUGCAAGGAUGCAGAAGCAGCAGCUGAAUAAUAGUCAGACUUGAAGGGAAGAAUUAUGCAACACUUUUUUGUGCUAUAAAGCUCAGUCUCUGCAAAAGCAAAAUGAAGACAAAAAACUGGAGGAAACAGGAUACAGGAAUUAUGUUGCAGCUUGGUCAGUUACAACAAUGCCAAACUGAUUUAGAAUAACAGCAGAUAAUACUUCACAACAAAACGCAAUGUGAUCAUUUGGUGGUUUUCGGUAUCUGUCAAACCAAGGUAGGGCAGUUUAUUUCAUAGGGCUUUGUCACCUAAACUUCUUAGGAACACCAAACUACAAAUACAAGGGCUACUAGAUCCUAUAAAUAGUGGAAAUGGGGAAGGGAAUAAAUAGUUAUUAAAAAUUAAGAUUUGACUUAUUAAUUACUUCAGUCUCCUUCCAGAGAAUACCACUGGGCUUACAGAAGAUGCCCUGUGAUGCUGUUCUGCAAGCACAGCCCUCAUCUUCUACCAGUAGCUUGCAAAUUUCUGGAUCGUCUGAAUUGCAGCAGCCAUCUCCAAAUGUGCUACAGAGGCUUCAGCCUUUACAGAGUAGAUCUCUUAAACCACCAGAACAAAAUACCCAGUCUCCCUCAGGUUAUUGUAACACACCUAAUGGUCAAAAUGCUCAAGAGACAGAAUUCCAAUUUUCUCCAGAAAAGGAUACAGGAAUUAAGAACAUAGAUUCCUGGGUAAGCUUAUAUAAAACGAUGAUGCUUCCAGCUCCA
rnacentral:lncRNA from 1 species